CUCCCCUUAAAUUGUGCUCUCCUACCAAUGUUCGAUGGCGGUGAUUAUUUCCUCCGUCUUAUCAAGUCUAUUCAGCUCUCCAAUGGUGUUCGUCUCCAACCAUUCAAUCUCUUUUUUCAACUACAGCAACCCAUCAGGAACUACCCAAUCAAGCAGUCUACGCAUAUAUACUCUAUACUACACGAUUUCACCCAUGACGCAGUUUCCAAGUUCUGGCCACAUGUAUAUUUCAGUAACAUAUUUUAUCCCACAAUAAUUGAUUUUGUAUGGCAAGACAUGGGUUUCACAGUUAUAUAUGUGAAGUACGGAUGAGGAGGUCGUCGAGACGGGCGGCUAGAUGGAAUAGAUGGCGUGCGGCAAGUAAAGACUUGGAUCGAGUCAAGACUCAAUACUAAAGGAUAUACUCAACGAGAUGAACGACCUAGGAAAUCAGAUUAGAACAAGGUUAGGUGGUAUUUUCUGUUUAUUUAUUUUUGAGGAGUAUAUUAA